rnacentral:rRNA from 1 species
UGCGGAAGGAUCAUUACUGUGAUUUACUACUACCCUGCGUGAGCGGAACGAAAACAACAACACCUAAAAUGUGGAAUAUAGCAUAUAGUCGACAAGAGAAAUCUACGAAAAAACAAACAAAACUUUCAACAACGGAUCUCUUGGUUCUCGCAUCGAUGAAAAGCGCAGCGAAAUGCGAUACCUAGGGUGAAUUGCAGCCAUCGUGAAUCAUCGAGUUCUUGAACGCACAUUGCGCCCCUCGGCAUUCCGGGGGGCAUGCCUGUUUGAGCGUCGUUUCCAUCUUGCGCGUGCGCAAAGUUGGGGGAGCGGAGCGGACGACGUGUAAAGAGCGUCGGAGCUGCGACUCGCCUGAAAGGGAGCGAAGCUGGCCGAGCGAACUAAACUUUUUUUCAGGGACGCUUGGCGGCCGAAAGCGAGUGUUGCGAGACAACAAAAAGCUCGACCUCAAAUCAGGUAGGAAUACCCGCUGAACUUAAGCAUAUCAUAAGCCGGAGGAA